UAAGCGCUGUGAGGCGUUGAGCUAACCUGUACUAAUUGCCCGUGAGGCUUGACCAUACAACACCCAAGGGGUUU
rnacentral:rRNA from 1 species